rnacentral:rRNA from 1 species
CCUACGGGCGGCAGCAGUGAGGAAUAUUGGUCAAUGGCCGAGAGGCUGAACCAGCCAAGCCGCGUGAGGGAAGAAUGUCCUAAGGAUUGUAAACCUCUUUUGUCGGGGAGCAAAAAGGCUCUGCGGACUCGUAUUGAGUGUACCCGAAGAAAAAGCAUCGGCUAACUCCGUGCCAGCAGCCGCGGUAAUACGGGGGAUGCGAGCGUUAUCCGGAAGUAUUGGGUUUAAAGGGUGCGCAGGCGGCUUGUCAAGUAAGCGGUAAAAUAGCGGGGCUCAACCCCGGCGAGCCGUUGAAACUGGCUGUCUUGAGAUGUAGAGAGGUAUGCGGAAUGCGCAGUGUAGCGGUGAAAUGCUUAGAUAUAGCGCAGAACUCCGAUUGCGAAGGCAGCAUACCGGCGGCGAACUGACGCUGAGGCACGAAAGCGUGGGUAUCGAACAGGAUUAGAUACCCUAGUAGUC